rnacentral:rRNA from 1 species
UACGAAGGGGGCUAGCGUUGCUCGGAAUCACUGGGCGUAAAGGGUGCGUAGGCGGGUCUUUAAGUCAGGGGUGAAAUCCUGGAGCUCAACUCCAGAACUGCCUUUGAUACUGUUCGUCUUGAGUCCGGGAGAGGUGAGUGGAACUGCGAGUGUAGAGGUGAAAUUCGUAGAUAUUCGCAAGAACACCAGUGGCGAAGGCGGCUCACUGGCCCGGUACUGACGCUGAGGUGCGAAAGCGUGGGGAGCAAACAGG